UACGGAGGGUGCGAGCGUUGUCCGGAAUCACUGGGCGUAAAGGGCGCGUAGGCGGCCUGAUAAGUAGGGGGUGAAAUCUUGCGGCUUAACCGCAAGGCUGCCUUCUAAACUGUCGGGCUCGAGCACAGUAGAGGCAGGUGGAAUUCCCCGGUGUAGCGGUGGAAUGCGUAGAGAUCGGGAAGAACAUCAGUGGCGAAGGCGGCCUGCUGGGCUGUGCUGACGCUGAGGCGCGACAGCGUGGGGAGCAAACA
rnacentral:rRNA from 1 species